rnacentral:rRNA from 1 species
CAGCCGCCGCGGGAAUACGAGGGGGGCAAGCGUUGUUCGGAAUUAUUGGGCGUAAAGGGUGCGUAGGCGGUUUCUUAAGUCUGAUGUGAAAGCCCCCGGCUCAACCGGGGAGGGUCAUUGGAAACUGGGAAACUUGAGUGCAGAAGAGGAGAGUGGAAUUCCACGUGUAGCGGUGAAAUGCGUAGAGAUGUGGAGGAACACCAGUGGCGAAGGCGACUCUCUGGUCUGUAACUGACGCUGAGGAGCGAAAGCGUGGGGAGCGAACAGGAUUAGAUACCCGCGUAGUCCCUGUCUCUUAUAC